rnacentral:rRNA from 1 species
AACGAACGCUGGCGGCAGGCCUAACACAUGCAAGUCGAGCGAGGACUUCGGUCCUAGCGGCGGACGGGUGAGUAACGCGUGGGAACGUGCCCUUUGCUUCGGAAUAGCCCUGGGAAACUGGGAGUAAUACCGGAUGAGCCCUUUGGGGGAAAGAUUUAUCGGCGAAGGAUCGGCCCGCGUUGGAUUAGGUAGUUGGUGGGGUAAUGGCCUACCAAGCCGACGAUCCAUAGCUGGUUUGAGAGGAUGAUCAGCCACACUGGGACUGAGACACGGCCCAGACUCCUACGGGAGGCAGCAGUGGGGAAUCUUAGACAAUGGGGGGAAACCCUGAUCUAGCCAUGCCGCGUGAGCGAUGAAGGCCUUAGGGUUGUAAAGCUCUUUCAGCUGGGAAGAUAAUGACGGUACCAGCAGAAGAAGCCCCGGCUAACUCCGUG